rnacentral:rRNA from 1 species
AGUGACCUGCGGAGGAUCAUUAACUAGUAUUGAAGUCCACGGGGAUCAGGCUUUCCGAAAGGAGGGUGGGGGGAUGUUUGGUUCCCCCUGCUUGGGCAGACUGGAGAGCAUUGUGUAGCCACUUUUGUUGGCUACGUUAUGUUUGGCCUCUGCUGAUCGAGCUUGUCACCUGAAUUCUACUACCCUUGCUUUUUGCGCACCCAUUGUUUCCUCGGUAGGCUUGCCUGCCAGUAGGACCAUUUAAAACCCUUUGUGAUUGCAAUCAGCGUCAGAAACAACGUAAUCGUUACAACUUUCAACAACGGAUCUCUUGGUUCUGGCAUCGAUGAAGAACGCAGCGAAAUGCGAUAAGUAGUGUGAAUUGCAGAAUUCAGUGAAUCAUCGAAUCUUUGAACGCACAUUGCGCCCCUUGGUAUUCCAUGGGGCAUGCCUGUUCGAGCGUCAUUUGUACCCUCCAGCCCUGCUGGGUGUUGGGCGUUUUGUUCCGCUGCGCGCGUGAACUCGCCUCAAAUGCAUUGGCAGCCCGCCGUCCUGUGUGGGAGCGCAGCACAUUUUGCGCUCUCCACUGCUGACGGUGGCAUCCACAAGUCUACCAUUUUACGCUUGACCUCGGAUCAGGUAGGGAUACCCGCUGAACUUAAGCAUAUCAAUAAGCGGAGGAA